rnacentral:lncRNA from 1 species
GAGCCUAAACCCUAACAUCAUUUCUUUUCUUUCUAGCAGCCCCUAAGCCUCUCUUCUCCAAUACCAAGCCACAACCAUGUCAAUGGCCGACAUCCUCAGGCUACAUGCGAACACUUUGUGGCCUUGAGGUUCCCCUUUAGUCUCCGAUUUCGGCGAAGCAAAGGAGAACCGAUAGCCUAUUUUCCAGGUAAGGUUUCGUCUCAUUUUUCUUUUAUUUAUAUGUAAAGAACGAAAAAGAAAAUCAAAAAGGGAAAUCGAGAGAGAAAAGAGCGUAAUAAACCCCGGAGAUUCAAAAGCAGAAGAUCACCUUGUUCUAUUUUUUUGCUUUCUAUUCCUUCUGAAUGUAUGUGUAUUCUCUGUGAACGUAAAUGUGCGUAAAAAAUACAAUGAGCCAGAACUUUGGCUUUAUAUCCGAAACAGAAUAAGAAAGAUUCAAAAAUAAAUCAAAAUCAAAAUACAAAUUCCUCUUUUCGUAUUUGCUGUUGUGUGGUUUUGUCUGUUUCUUCGCAGGUACGGAGGCCCAUUGGCGUGUGUACGAGGCUGUACUGGCGUACGAGGGCUGUUGACGUGGAGGCACGAGCGGUGUUGAGGCUGUACGACGGUUGAAGGCUGCGGCGCGAGGAGUGAGCCCUAGGGUUUCUGCUCUUGAAAUGUUUCGGGCCUUUUUGGGCCGAUGUAACUUGGGUCUAGGUUUAUCCAUAAAUGGGUUUGUUAUUUGGGUCUUGGGUCUGUUGUGAUUUAAAUUUGUCUUGUAUUUGGGCUAGAUUUUAGUUAGGGCUGUGCACGGUAAAUGGACUGUAAAGGGACAUUUAAUUUUUAUUUGGGUUUUAUACUUAUUUUUUGGUUUAUUUUGUUUUGUUUUGUGUUUGCAAUGGGUCGGGAAAAUUUGGCCUGCUACAACAAGUUAUGAAGUUGAGCAAUACCAAACACUAGUGGACGCCACUUAAGGCACUCCUCAAAAUUAUCUCAACAAUUUUUUUUUUAAAUUAUAAUUUUUGUAUUUUUUUAAAAAAUACGAAUAUGGUAAAAAGGUAAAUGUUGAUGAUUAUGAUAAAGAAAUAACAUGGGCAAUUUCCUUGAAAAGUAAAUAAGAACUAUUUACUAAUUGUAUUAUAAUAAAAUUGUAAUGUUUUAGCAAGGUUGCCACUAAAUCAAGUGAGACUAAAUUCAAUCAGCAAUGUUUUAAGAGUACAAAUUGGGUUAAGGCCCUGAAAUAAUUAAGGGUAUUUCAAGCCCAAAAAUUUAGUGGAACUGCCUUCAUCAAACAGAC